GACGCGAGGUCUGACGUGCGCCACUGAAGUCCGCCUGUUUCGUCAACGGCGAUAGAAGGAACAACUUUGAAAAAGAAAAGCAAAUCGGAUGUGAUCAACCCUUCGGGACAAUCAACCCAGGUCACCAAGCAGACCCGCCCUGCCAGAAUGGCCGCCGCAGAAGAGAUCAUACGUGAUGUGUGCACCACUGGAGCACUUACAACUGUCUACGUGAGAGGCAACUUCGCCGCCAGCAGCAGGGCACCUCCUGACGAGGAGGACGACGAUGACGGUGGAAGCCGUCGCCACUCUUUUAAUUUUAGGGAUGAGGCGCAGGCGCCUUCCCCCCGCCUGCUUGGCGAGACUUGGGAACGUUCCAACCUGAUGGAGAAGGUUCGCCCUCUCACCUGCCUCACCUGCCAGCAGGUGAGUCAGGCGUGGGAUGAGUGUGUAAAGCACGCGCUCAGCUCUGGCCACGGCCUGGAGGCCCGCUGCCGACUC